UGGAGAGUUUGAUCCUGGCUCAGAUUGAACGCUGGCGGCAGGCUUAACACAUGCAAGUCGAACGGUAGCAGGAGGAAGCUUGCUUUCUUGCUGACGAGUGGCGGACGGGUGAGUAAUGCUUGGGAAUCUGGCUUAUGGAGGGGGAUAACUACGGGAAACUGUAGCUAAUACCGCGUAAUAUCGAAAGAUUAAAGUGUGGGACCUUCGGGCCACAUGCCAUAAGAUGAGCCCAAGUGGGAUUAGGUAGUUGGUGAGGUAAAGGCUCACCAAGCCUGCGAUCUCUAGCUGGUCUGAGAGGAUGGCCAGCCACACUGGAACUGAGACACGGUCCAGACUCCUACGGGAGGCAGCAGUGGGGAAUAUUGCGCAAUGGGGGGAACCCUGACGCAGCCAUGCCGCGUGAAUGAAGAAGGCCUUCGGGUUGUAAAGUUCUUUCGGUAUUGAGGAAGGGAUGUGUGCUAAUAGUACACGUCAUUGACGUUAAAUACAGAAGAAGCACCGGCUAACUCCGUGCCAGCAGCCGCGGUA
rnacentral:rRNA from 1 species